AGAGUUUGAUUAUGGCUCAGGACGAACGCUGGCGGCGUGCCUAAUACAUGCAAGUCGAACGCACUGACGUCGACCGAAGCUGCUUGCAGUGGACGUUGAUUGACGUGAGUGGCGGACGGGUGAGUAACACGUGGGUAACCUACCCUUAAGUGGGGGAUAACAUUUGGAAACAGAUGCUAAUACCGCAUAACCAUUCAGACCACAUGGUCUGAAUGUAAAAGACGGCCUUUGGCUGUCACUUUUGGACGGACCCGCGGCGUAUUAGUUAGUUGGUAAGGUAACGGCUUACCAAGACAAUGAUACGUAGCCGACCUGAGAGGGUAAUCGGCCACAUUGGGACUGAGACACGGCCCAAACUCCUACGGGAGGCAGCAGUAGGGAAUCUUCCACAAUGGACGAAAGUCUGAUGGAGCAACGCCGCGUGAGUGAAGAAGGUUUUAGGAUCGUAAAACUCUGUUGUUGGAGAAGAACAGGGACUAGAGUAACUGUUAGUCCUUUGACGGUAUCCAACCAGAAAGCCACGGCUAACUACGUGCCAGCAGCCGCGGUAAUACGUAGGUGGCAAAGCGUUGUCCGGAUUUAUUGGGCGUAAAGCGAGCGCAGGCGGUUUUUUAAGUCUGAUGUGAAAGCCUUCGGCUUAACCGAAGAAGUGCAUUAGAAACUGGGAAACUUGAGUGCAGAAGAGGACAGUGGAACUCCAUGUGUAGCGGUGAAAUGCGUAGAUAUAUGGAAGAACACCAGUGGCGAAGGCGGCUGUCUGGUCUGUAACUGACGCUGAGGCUCGAAAGUAUGGGGAGCGAACAGGAUUAGAUACCCUGGUAGUCCAUACCGUAAACGAUGAAUGCUAAGUGUUGGAGGGUUUCCGCCCUUCAGUGCUGCAGCUAACGCAUUAAGCAUUCCGCCUGGGGAGUACGACCGCAAGGUUGAAACUCAAAGGAAUUGACGGGGGCCCGCACAAGCGGUGGAGCAUGUGGUUUAAUUCGAAGCAACGCGAAGAACCUUACCAGGUCUUGACAUCCUUUGACCACUGUAGAGAUACAGCUUUCCCUUCGGGGACAAAGUGACAGGUGGUGCAUGGUUGUCGUCAGCUCGUGUCGUGAGAUGUUGGGUUAAGUCCCGCAACGAGCGCAACCCUUAUGACUAGUUGCCAGCAUUUAGUUGGGCACUCUAGUAAGACUGCCGGUGACAAACCGGAGGAAGGUGGGGAUGACGUCAAAUCAGCAUGCCCCUUAUGACCUGGGCUACACACGUGCUACAAUGGUCGGUACAACGAGUUGCGAACCCGCGAGGGUAAGCUAAUCUCUUAAAGCCGAUCUCAGUUCGGAUUGUAGGCUGCAACUCGCCUACAUGAAGCCGGAAUCGCUAGUAAUCGCGGAUCAGCACGCCGCGGUGAAUACGUUCCCGGGCCUUGUACACACCGCCCGUCACACCAUGAGAGUUUGUAACACCCGAAGUCGGUGGGGUAACCCUUUUAGGGAACUAGCCGCCUAAGGUGGGACAGAUGAGUGGGGUGAAGUCG
rnacentral:rRNA from 1 species